rnacentral:lncRNA from 1 species
AUGGAAAAUUUUUCCAAGCCUCUCAGUUUUCUGCCUCCCCACUCAGAGCCAUCCUCUUCCCGAAGCCUGGCCAGAGCACACUGCCCCUCCCCUGACGCCACUGUUCCGGAUGCGAAUCCCCAGCGCUGGCCCUCCGCCCCAUUAAUGACCCCAACCACCCCGCCCCCUCCUUACACCAGCCACUCCCAGGCCUCCCCCCAGGCGGGCCUCACUAUCCCCAGCGCGCCCGUCGGCGGCUCCCCCAGCCCCUGCCUUCGCCGGACGCGCAGGAGAAGCAAGGCUGACCCUUUCCGCUCCCCUCAUCCCGGGUUUCCAAACCCUGCAGCCCUGCGGGCCCGCUCCCGUCCAGACCCGGCUGCCCGCUCUGCUCGAGGCUCACCGGUCCCCGAUUCGGGCUCAGCGGCCCAUCCGGCCGGUGUCGCCUCUCGGUGCGCUGCAGAAUCGGGGGGUUGUGGCCCGGGACGCGGGAUUGGUCCAGGCGUGAGCUCCUCGGCCUCCCGCGCCGCCUCCUCCCACAGCUGCCACCUCCGUCCCCCCCCUCGGCCCACGAAGCCCGAAGCACGGCCAGGCCCGGACGGAAGUGACGUCACGAUGGGACAGCCCCCCCCCCCCCCCCCCCGCCCCGGGGCCGGGCCGCGGAGCUCCGCCCACUGGCGGGCGUGGGGAGAAGGCGAGGCCGCGCGCCCAGGGCGGCGGGCGCGGGCCCAGGGCGCGGGGUCGGCCGGAGACUCGGGGACGGGAAGCCUCGUCAGUAACCUGGAUUUGAGUUCUGUGGACAGGAAGAGGCUCCCUGGAAGGGCGUGGGGGAGGAGCAGAGGAGUCGGCUCCUCGGGAGGGCCGGGGCAGGGGAGGAUGGAGGGCGGUGCGGCACGUUCCCUGGGAGGAAGGAAGCGGACCAGGGGCAGAUUCCCAUGGGGGAGGGGCGGGCUCCCUGUGGGCGACGAAGUGGGGCGGAUCCCUGCGGGGAGCUUUAAGCAGAUUUUCGACCAGAGAAGCGCUCAGCCCCGGGAGGAGGAAGGGCGGCAGUUCUGCGGGGGAGGCGCGUUGUAG